CAGUACUGCAAAACUACUCUGCCAUUGUGCAUGCUUUUCUUGUCAAGAAGUGCAGCCUUGCCAUGCAGUUUUUGAAUUAGAAACGAAUUCUGUAUUGGAGAUGAUGGGGAGAUCCAAUAUUGGAAGAACUGAUCUUGCAGCCUGAAUCUGGAUCAACUCUAAAUGUAGAGAGCAGAACUGGUAACUGGAGGUUGUAAUAUGGAUUCUAAACCCAGCCAUCCUCAAAGUACAUGGGAAGGUGACUCUGAAUUCAGUUUCCAGUUUUGGACCCAACUCUUUCUGUGGAUGCAUUUGUUUGGUCGGCUGGUUGGUUAUAUCUUACGUAACUUCAGAGGGCUAAAGUAAUGACUUCUUCCUGGCCCUAUAAUCAGUUUGGUCUUCAGAUUGCUAUUGUCACAUUUAAUUAUCAUCUUGAAUCUGAAUCUUAUUGGACUUCCCUACCUGAUGAGAUCCUUAUUUGCCCUCCCUUCAACUCUGAGAGCAAAUGAGAUACAAAGAAUCUCUGAGCUAUUUUAAGCCUUAUUGCAUGGCCCUUGCUACCCUUGAUCUGGCAGACCUCCCUUUUUCUGUAUUAAUCAAAUCUGUCUGCUGCUCACCCUCUAACCAGCUGUAUAAGUGGUCAAGCUUCCAAUAUGGAAUGGACUGUCGUGGAGCCUUUCUGGACAUAGUGGGGGUUAGAAAAAUCUGGCAUGUUUAUGGAUGAUUGCCCCGGAGAGCUAUGUAGCUGUUGCUGAACUGACACAAGUGCUUUUGUCCAGGGUAGGUGGGUUUGAUGGAAAUUCUGUCCUGGUUAGAAGUUGAGAGCAAUCAGCUCAAGCCAAAUGUCUGUCUCAGUCAGCUGAAGGGGAAUGUAAAGAGCUUUGCUGGAAGUGUGUCUGCUCUCCAGUUGCUUCCUUUAGCCUCCACUUCACAUUUUCGGACAGGAAAAACACUGUGCUUGCCUCUACCAGUGGCUAAAUAGCAAUGAUCAAAGAGAGUGCUCUCCUAAAUCCUGACUGAGCUGCCUGAUUGUAUUUGCUGUGAGAGCAGACCUGGAACGACAAAAGAAUUACUGAUAAAAUUAA